CAUGAUGGCCAAACCGUGCAGUGUGUAUUACUAUGUAUUUUGGGACCAACCAUCUGCGUCAGAAAGACCUGAUGGACCAAUUCCUGGGGCCAGCUAGCAUUCUCAGAGCACACAACGUCCAUCCCUCAUUAUUGAGCGAGAGACCUGGAAAUGGGCUGCCCCAAAGACGUUCAUCUGCACCAAGGGCCCUGAGUUCUACUUGGAAACCCCAGUGGGGUGGAUUUCCUAUGGCAGAGAGCUUGCCCCUGUGUUUAAAGAUCCUGGCUGGUCCCUGGAAUGUCCACUUAUGUUUCAUUGAUGGAACUAUAUCACACAGCUGUCCCUAGCUGCACAGAGGGCUGAGAAAAUGUCACAAGCCCCCUCAAGCAGCUGAGUGUGGAUGGCCAAGGUGGUCCAUGCAGCCCAGCCCUGUACACCACCACCUUCCUCAUUUUCUGCUGCCACACAUUUAGAGAUUCAGAAAAGCCAAAUUUUCCCUGCCUUCUGGAGGAAGCUUCUUCCUGUUGAAAGUCCUUAAGAGGAGAACUUAAAAUGUGAAGAUCUACCUGUGACCUCUGGGGAGACAUAACUGCUCCCUUGAAGGACGGAAGCCAAAAUACUGCUUGUUAUUGGGUCUUUUAGAAUAAUAAUAAAAAAACUUUAUU